rnacentral:rRNA from 1 species
AACGAACGCUGGCGGCAGGCCUAACACAUGCAAGUCGAGCGCUGUAGCAAUACAGAGCGGCGCACGGGUGAGUAACACGUGGGAACGUGCCCAACGGUUUGGGAUAACUCAGGGAAACUUGAGCUAAUACCGGAUACGCCCCUCAUUGGAGACAAUGUGGGGGAAAGAUUUAUCGCCGAUGGAGCGGCCCGCGUCCGAUUAGCUUGUUGGUGAGGUAAAAGCUCACCAAGGCGACGAUCGGUAGCUGGUUUGAGAGAACGAUCAGCCACACUGGGACUGAGACACGGCCCAG